AUGACCCCUCUGCUCCUGCAUGCAUCAACUAGUGAUGCCCACUCUGCAAAGACUUUGGCAGAAAUGAACAUCAUAAGGAAAUCGUUUAAUUAUGGCCCUUGUCAAGCGCUCAGAGUCUGCUCCAAGGGACCAGAUUUCAGCUCUCUUCAACUUCAUUACAGCAUCUUGAAUAUUCAUCUGGAGUAGAUCUACAACCACACACUUCAUUUGGAACUAAGUGGAAAACAAAGGAGGUUUUCCUCGUGCUCCUCAUGACUCUGGUGUUCACUGAUGGAUGGGAGGAUAUCAGGCUCAGCCGUGACCGAUGGGUUCAUUUUAACUCGGCACCCUGCCGGAGCAUAUGAUAUAUUUGAGCACAACCACAUUCUCCCAAUUGUUUUUGACACAAACAAUAAACAGGCUUGGACGGAUUAUCUAAGUGAAACG
ensembl:lncRNA